rnacentral:rRNA from 1 species
GUCCACGCCGUAAACGAUGGGUGCUAGGUGUGGGGAGUGUCGACUCUCUCCGUGCCGAAGCUAACGCAUUAAGCACCCCGCCUGGGGAGUACGGCCGCAAGGCUAAAACUCAAAGGAAUUGACGGGGGCCCCGCACAAGCAGCGGAGCAUGUUCUUUAAUUCGACGCAACGCGAAGAACCUUACCAGGGCUUGACAUGCACGGGAAUGUCAUAGAGAUAUGGCAGCCCUUCGGGGCUCGUGCACAGGUGUUGCAUGGCCGUCGU